CAGUGGUAACCCCCUUGGAUCCCCUUCCACACUGUGGGAGGUUUGUUCUUUUGCUCUUUGCAAUAAAGCUUGCUGCUGCUCACUCUUUGGGUCCAGACUGUCUUUAUGAGCUAUAACACUCACCGGGAAGGUCUGCAGCUUCACUCCUGAAGCCAAGGAGACCACGAACCCACCGGGAGGAAGGAACAACUACAGACACGCCGGCUUAAGAGCUGUAGCACUCACUGCGAAGGUCCGCAGCUUCACUCUUGAGCCAGAGACCACGAACCCACCAGAAGGAAGAAACUCCAAACACAUCCGAACAUCAGAAGGAAAAAACUCCAGACACGCCGCCUUUAAGAACUGCAACACUGCGAGGGUCCGCGGCUUCAUUCUUGAAGUCAGUGAGACCAAGAACCCACCAAUUCCAGACACACUACCAAAGGCAGAGGGGAGCUCCUAGACAAAGAUAUUUUGCUUACAAAUGGAACAUAUCAAAUCAAGCUUUUGUGAACUUGAGGGAAGAAACAAAGAAUAUGAAGCCUAAAUGGAAGUGUCAGGAAAUGGUCGCCUUGCGGACAAGGAAACAGCAGCCUGGAAGGCCAGGAGAGGGCAGACUACCCACCUAACCCUCUGCAGAAUUUUGUGUGGACCCUGGAGACCAGAAACUAACUUCUCCUGCAGAGACAAGGUCUUGCUCUGUCACCCUGGCUGGUCUUGAACUCCUGGCUUCAAGCAAUUCAUCCAUCUCAGCCUCCUGAGUAGCUGGGAUUACAGAUGACUUGCUGCAUGUGAAGAACAGUUCCUGGCACAGGGUUUGCUCCAAAUAAAUGUUGUCAUCAUCACCAGCACCAUCAUCGUCACCAUCAUCAUAAAUAAAAAACAGUGAAGCAUAGACAGUUUUUGCAAGAGGCCCAAGAUCAUACAUCAAAUAUGUGCACAGCCAGGACCUGAACCAGUUGAUAUCUACAAAUGCCUGGCUUUUGCCACUGGGCUCCUUCAGUGAAGAUGUGUCUGCUUCCCCUUCACCUCCCACCAUGAUUGUAAGUUUCCUGAGGCCUGCACAGCAAUGUUUCCUGGACAGCCUGUGGAACUGCUCAGGAGUCAGACCACCUGGGUUCCAAUCUUGGCAUUGCCACUGGAAAAGAAUGUGACCUGAAACCACAUGAAACGACAAAUGAAUCAAUAAAUGUCCUCAUGUCAUAUCCUGCAUAGUUCUGUUUGCCCUGAUUGACAUUAAAAUAUCAUCUGCUCAAUGGAUUCUGUCUUUAUCCUGACUGGUUUAUACUGGUCCUGUUAAUCUCUUAAACCUAUUUCAUUAUUCAUAUCACUAAAGGGUCAAGCAUAUGUGCUACUCCUACAGUCUAAUUACAUUUUAAUUCUUUUUUGGGAUUUUUCCAUUCCUCUUUUGUUACAAUGAACUGAUGUUUGAGGCAGUUUAGAAAGAUAUUUGUAGUUUAUAAUGGAAAAGCAGCUCACAAUGCAGCCUAUGGAUUCUUUGAGUGGACACAAUAUGCGUUAUAUGAAUAAAAUGACUUAAAAUGUUGUUAUUUUGUUGUAUCCAUUAACUUCUCAGUUUUAUGCUGAAAAAUAUUUGAUUACAUAAUUCUAUGCACUCCUAUUUGAAGGAAGGUGUUCAAGUCAACUGAAAAUACCUCCAAUUUGGAAUUAGCAAGAUCUUCCAAUGAUCACAAAAAGUAUUUUGAUAAAAAAUAAUGGUAAUAUUUUACAUAAAUUUGAGGGCUUACAAUGUACUACACAUUGUUCAAAAUAAUUUGUACAUAUUAAUUGAGGUAGUCAACAAAACAACUCUUGUAACUGGUGCUAUGUUGUCAUUCCUAAACUCGUGGUGACUGAAACAUAGCUCAAGAAACUUCUACAAUGGCAUGAAGCCAGUAAAUUGCAGAGUUGGCAUUAGAUAAACUGUGUUAUAGCCCAAGAUCCAUGGGUUUAUUCAAUGCUAGUCACACAAUAAAAUAUAUUUAAAAUGCUAUAAAAUAUUGCUUUGGCCUGCAUUUGAGGAGCUACACGCUGAUUUCCUAGAACGAUCUUCAUAUUUAUUUUGGAACAAUCAGUUAAAAAAAAAUAAAAAAGAAUCUGUUUGGGCCACAUAUGCCAGAGGCUAAAGGAAUUGCUGUCCUCUGUUCUGUUCCUGUCCACCUCAGCACUUUUGAUCUCUGGGGCAUGCUGUUGGUCUUAACCAUAAAUUGAAAAUGAGAGGCAGAAUAAUUAAAGAGCAAACUGUAAUUAUGACCAAGAUCUAAAGAGAGAAAAACUAACAUUGAGUAUCGGCCUUCAAUUUCCUAUUAGUGCAUUUAAGAUUAGCUAUAAACAGCCUUGUUAAACUCAAUUAAAUAGUUCAUCAGAAGGAUUUUUCUUAUUAGUACAGGCUGAGUGAUGUGACUUUUAGAACCAUGUUGCUGGUUAUGCAUGAGCAUUUUUCAACAUUGAUUUUG
rnacentral:lncRNA from 1 species